UGCUAUACAUGCAGUCGAACGCUUUUUCUUUCACCGGAGCUUGCUCCACCGAAAGAAAAAGAGUGGCGAACGGGUGAGUAACACGUGGGUAACCUGCCCAUCAGAAGGGGAUAACACUUGGAAACAGGUGCUAAUACCGUAUAACACUAUUUUCCGCAUGGAAGAAAGUUGAAAGGCGCUUUUGCGUCACUGAUGGAUGGACCCGCGGUGCAUUAGCUAGUUGGUGAGGUAACGGCUCACCAAGGCCACGAUGCAUAGCCGACCUGAGAGGGUGAUCGGCCACACUGGGACUGAGACACGGCCCAGACUCCUACGGGAGGCAGCAGUAGGGAAUCUUCGGCAAUGGACGAAAGUCUGACCGAGCAACGCCGCGUGAGUGAAGAAGGUUUUCGGAUCGUAAAACUCUGUUGUUAGAGAAGAACAAGGAUGAGAGUAGAACGUUCAUCCCUUGACGGUAUCUAACCAGAAAGCCACGGCUAACUACGUGCCAGCAGCCGCGGUAAUACGUAGGUGGCAAGCGUUGUCCGGAUUUAUUGGGCGUAAAGCGAGCGCAGGCGGUUUCUUAAGUCUGAUGUGAAAGCCCCCGGCUCAACCGGGGAGGGUCAUUGGAAACUGGGAGACUUGAGUGCAGAAGAGGAGAGUGGAAUUCCAUGUGUAGCGGUGAAAUGCGUAGAUAUAUGGAGGAACACCAGUGGCGAAGGCGGCUCUCUGGUCUGUAACUGACGCUGAGGCUCGAAAGCGUGGGG
rnacentral:rRNA from 1 species